rnacentral:rRNA from 1 species
UACGUAGGGGGCUAGCGUUGUCCGGAAUCAUUGGGCGUAAAGCGCGCGUAGGCGGCCAGAUAAGUCCGGUGUGAAAGUCACAGGCUCAACCUGUGAAUGCCGCUGGAAACUGUCUGGCUAGAGUCCGGAAGGGGCGAGUGGAAUUCCUGGUGUAGCGGUGAAAUGCGCAGAUAUCAGGAGGAACACCGAUGGCGAAGGCAGAUCUCUGGGCCGUAACUGACGCUGAGGAGCGAAAGCAUGGGUAGCGAACAGG